GACGAACGCUGGCGGCGUGCCUAAUACAUGCAAGUCGAGCGCAGGAAGCCGUCCGAACCCUUCGGGGGGACGACGGUGGAAUGAGCGGCGGACGGGUGAGUAACACGUAAAGAACCUGCCCAUAGGUCUGGGAUAACCACGAGAAAUCGGGGCUAAUACCGGAUGUGUCAUCGGACCGCAUGGUCCGAUGAUGAAAGGCGCUUCGGCGUCGCCCAUGGAUGGCUUUGCGGUGCAUUAGCUAGUUGGUGGGGUAACGGCCCACCAAGGCGACGAUGCAUAGCCGACCUGAGAGGGUGAUCGGCCACACUGGGACUGAGACACGGCCCAGACUCCUACGGGAGGCAGCAGUAGGGAAUCUUCCACAAUGGACGAAAGUCUGAUGGAGCAACGCCGCGUGAACGAUGAAGGCUUUCGGGUCGUAAAGUCCUGUUGUAAGGGAAGAACAAGUGCCGCAGGCAAUGGCGGCACCUUGACGGUACCUUGCGAGAAAGCCACGGCUAACUACGUGCCAGCCGCCGCAGUAA
rnacentral:rRNA from 1 species